GGGAAGGAGAGGUGGAUGAGGAAGAGAGCGAUGAGAGAGCAAGACUGGAGGACGAACAAGGAAGCUUCAGCUCUUGUACUUGAUAACAUGAAAUGCACUUGACCUUGAGACCUCUGCAAACUGAAGAGCCUGACAUCUAUUGUGAAGAAAGGUCAGCAGGAUGCUUUUUCUGCCUCUCUCAAACAGCAGGAUUUUACCUCAGCAUCUGGCUCUUGAGUCUUCAUUUGGUAAAAUUAAACAGUUCAUUUUAAAAACCA